GACGUAGGGCGCGAGCGUUGUCCGGAUUUAUUGGGCGUAAAGAGCUCGUAGGCGGCCAGUUGCGUCUGCUGUGAAAUCCCGGGGCUCAACCCCGGGCGUGCAGUGGAUACGGGCAGACUGAGAGGUAGGGUAGGGAGAAUCGGAAUUCCGGUGUAGGCGGUAGAAAUGCGCAGAUAGUCGGGAAGAACACCCGUGGCGAAGGCGGUCUCUCGCGGGCG
rnacentral:rRNA from 1 species